rnacentral:rRNA from 1 species
UUUAUACAUGCAAGUCGCACGCGAAAUGCCCCUUCGGGGGCCGAGUAAAGUGGCGAACGGGUGCGUAACACGUGAGCAACCUGCCCUGGAGUGGGGAAUAACUCCGAGAAAUCGGGGCUAAUACCGCAUGAUGCCUGGGAUCCUCAUGGACCCCUCGUUAAAGCCGGCCUCUGCUUGCAAGCUGGCGCUCCGGGAUGGGCUCGCGGCCUAUUAGCUAGUUGGUGAGGUAACGGCCCACCAAGGCUACGAUGGGUAGGGGGCGUGAGAGCGUGGCCCCCCACAUUGGGACUGAGAUACGGCCCAGACUCCUACGGGAGGCAGCAGUAAGGAAUCUUGCGCAAUGGGCGAAAGCCUGACGCAGCGACACCGCGUGAGGGAUGAAGGCCUUCGGGUUGUAAACCUCUGUCAGGGGGAAAGAAACUCCAGUUGGCGAAUAACCGGCUGGACUGACGGUACCUCCAAAGGAAGCGCCGGCUAACUCCGUGCCAGUCAGCCGCGGUAAGACGGAGGGCGCAAACGUUGUUCGGAAUCACUGGGCGUAAAGGGCGCGUAGGCGGGUCGGUAAGUCAGACGUGAAAUCCCGGGGCUCAACUCCGGGCCUGCGUUUGAAACUGCCGGCCUA